AUGGAGAGAUAUAGGGAGCAAAAGAAGGACUUGCAUAUGGUGUUCAUUGACUUGGAGAAGGCCUAUGAUAAGAUACCGCGGAAUGUCAUGUGGUGGGCCUUGGAGAAACACAAAGUCCCAGCAAAGUACAUUACCCUCAUCAAGGACAUGUACGAUAAUGUUGUGACAAGUGUUCGAACAAGUGAUGUCGACACUGAUGACUUCCCGAUUAAGAUAGGACUGCAUCAGGGGUCAGCUUUGAGCCCUUAUCUUUUUGCAUUGGUGAUGGAUGAGGUCACAAGGGAUAUACAAGGAGAUAUCCCAUGGUGUAUGCUCUUUGCGGAUGAUGUGGUGCUAGUUGACGAUAGUCGGGCGGGGGUAAAUAGGAAGUUAGAGUUAUGGAGACAAACCUUGGAAUCGAAAGGGUUUAGGCUUAGUAGGACUAAAACCGAGUACAUGAUGUGCGGUUUUAGUACUACUAGGUGUGAGGAGGAGGAGGUUAGCCUUGAUGGUCAGGUGGUACCUCGGAAGGACACCUUUCGGUAUUUGGGGUCAAUGCUGCAGGAGGAUGGGGGUAUUGAUGAAGAUGUGAACCAUCGGAUCAAAGCUGGAUGGAUGAAGUGGCGCCAAGCUUCUGGCAUUCUCUGUGACAAGAGAGUGCCACAAAAGCUAAAAGUU
rnacentral:rRNA from 1 species